rnacentral:lncRNA from 1 species
UCUUGUGUUGCAAAAUAUACAAUAUCGAUCAUUUUUUACAAUAUAUUCAAUUACAAUUUCAAUUCAUCCAAUUCUCACAAUCUCACUACAUUUAUAUUUUUCUAGUUAUUAUAUUUGGAUUUCAUCAUAAAUAAUCAAAUAAAUGGAUCAAUACUCAUUUGUUGAGAGUUUAUUCGAUACAGGAUGUGGGCCACAUGGCAAAUUGCUUAGGACGCCGCAAAAUCAAUUUCCAAAUGAAUUUGUCGGUCUAAUGUGACAUACCCAUACCUGAAGAAAGUUCACAUUCACGGUCAGAGAAGCCACAAUCCAAUUGAUUUGAAUGAUAUUAACGUUCUCGAAACGGAACAUAAGAACGAAAAUGUCAAAUUAAACAUCCCAAAUACGAGGGGAAAGCGAAAGGGCAAAAAAUAAGCAAAAUGUUAUGAUCACUUUAAAUUGAUUUCAAUGGGAAAAGUCGUCGAUGGCCUUGCAGAAUCUAAAACGGUAUGUAAAUACUGCCAACAAAGAUUGACAUGGUAAAAAGGAAUUGGUACCACCCAUCUCAACCGCCACUACAAAGCAUGUGCGGCCAGACAUGGACUUCUUCCAGCUGGUCAAACACAAUUGCAAUUUGGCAGUCCAGGCGCCGGUUCUACGACUUCACCCCUAUCCACGUGAAUGUAUUUGGAGGACAAUACUCGAACCGAAAUUGUGAAAUUUGCUGCCGCCACUGAGUUGCCUCUGAUUAUUGUAGACAACCAACACUUCGUCUCAUUUGUGAAAGAAUAUCUGCAAUCAAGGUAUGUUGAAGUAAGUCAAAAAACUCUUCGUGCCGAUACGAUACAAUACAAUAUUUCAAUAAUUCAAAACAACAAUUAAUUAUGAAUUUGCAACAAUAUGAGGAUGUUAUAUCUUUAACUUCUGAUAUAUGGGAAGAGGUUAAUAAAAG